UACAGAGACUGCAAGCGUUAUUCGGAUUCACUGGGCGUAAAGGGUGCGCAGGUGGCCGUGUGUGUCAGAUGUGAAAUCCCGGGGCUUAACUCCGGAACUGCGUCUGAAACUACACGGCUAGAGCAUUGGAGAGGGUAGUGGAAUUCACGGUGUAGCAGUGAAAUGCGUAGAUAUCGUGAGGAACACCAGAGGCGAAGGCGACUACCUGGACAAUAGCUGACACUCGAGGCCAGCGAAAGCGUGGGGAGCCAAAGGG
rnacentral:rRNA from 1 species